GUAGUUUAACUUUGAAUUCAUGUAUUUUUUGAAUUUGAACAGAAAAAUUUUCAAAAUUAUGUUAUUAGGCUUCAGUACGUGUUAACUAAUCAAAAAUUAUGGGAUUUUAUGUCAAAAGCUUGUUUGUUCCUUAAGCAGAAGGCAUUUUUAAAAAAAGUGCAAAUACCAAGUAUUGCUUGAUAGAUGGGAUAAAACUUGAUAUCCAGUUGAAUGCAUGUACGAAUCAAAAUUUUCAAAAUUUUUAUUUUUAAAAUUUAAAAACAAGACUAUGUUUCUUAUUUUCGCAAGAAAAAUCAUGUAUCAUCCUCCCCUCUAUUUGAACAAGCCUCAAGGGCCCAUCCUUGACACGUGCAACAUUAUAUUCAAUCUUUCGUUUGAUUUUGAAAUCAAACGAAAGAUGAAUACAGACUUCAGUGUUUUCUUCCUUCUAAGAGGAUAAUUCUAUAUUUUCAAUUUUUUCCUGCUUUUCUUAAGUUAACUUCCUUUUCCCCUUUCGUUUGCUUUUAUGUUGUCUCACUGACUUUUGUGGCUUUAAAAAAUUUUCAGCAAGAAGCUUUCUCAUCAUUUUUCCGAGCAUACCGAGUACUGAGGUAUGGGUAUUAUCCGGUUUGCUCCAUAUCUCCAUACCCGAUUUUCCCUCAUUAUUACAUGUUUUAAUAAAAAUGACAUAUCUACAUUCAAUGGUUCAGUAAAAUAUUGAUUAAUGUGUAAAAGUACUUCUUAAAAAUUAAUGAAUAUAUAGAAAUAUUUAUUAAUAAUGAUUCUUCGUAUAUAUGGUACUACAGAGUGGUACAUGUCAAUCACAAAAUCCAAAUAUAUCUGCACAAAAACUUUAAAAUAUUUUAACAAGGCGACUAGCGAUUGUCGUCGUCUCCAAUUCAAUUCAUUUCUUAUUGGCACAAUCGUGGUUUACAGGUAGUUUUUGAGUUCUCUGCUAGAUUGCAGCGGUGAUCACGGAGAUACAGGGGUAUCCGGUAUUGUCCCACCUCUUCCUAAAGCAGACAACAAUACAUCAAUGUCUCGGAAGAUAGUUCUAUAUUCACAUAGUAGCUAAAGCCAACAUCUGAUAUUCAUCUCCUGUAAUGGCAAAUUAAAAUUAUUUUUAAACUAUACUGUAUAGCCUAGAAAUAAUCUGAAUAAAAAGUAGCACAGGCGAUAUAUAAAUUAUAAGCUACACUGCAUGUACAAUAUCUUUUAUGACUAUUGAAUUUUCUUAUAUAAAUAAACAUACGCUUAACUUCUAAGUCUCCGAUGAGGCAGUUAUUAUUAUUAAAAAGUAAAUAAAAAUAUCAUCACACGUUUAAAUAAACAAUAGAAUUAUACUAACAUUAUAAAUAUGCCCGAGUCGGCCGGAUUGGCAGCGUGGAAACGCUUCGGCUUUCUACUCUGGAGGCCGGGUUCGAGUCUCGGGUCCCACUCCUUGAAAAUGCUUGUAAUGAGGCCUGGGCCCGGCCCGUCGAUCCCCGUCUU
rnacentral:lncRNA from 1 species